rnacentral:rRNA from 1 species
AAGGAAUAUUGGUCAAUGGAGGCAACUCUGAACCAGCCAUGCCGCGUGCAGGAAGACGGCCCUAUGGGUUGUAAACUGCUUUUAUUCGGGAAUAAACAUCUUUACGUGUAGAGAGUUGAAUGUACCGAAAGAAUAAGGAUCGGCUAACCCCGUGCCAGCAGCCGCGGUAAUACGGAGGAUCCAAGCGUUAUCCGGAUUUAUUGGGUUUAAAGGGUGCGUAGGCGGCUUAUUAAGUCAGGGGUGAAAGACGGUGGCUCAACCAUCGCAGUGCCUUUGAUACUGAUGAGCUUGAAUACACUUGAGGUAGGCGGAAUGUGACAAGUAGCGGUGAAAUGCAUAGAUAUGUCACAGAACACCAAUUGCGAAGGCAGCUUACUAAGGUGCAAUUGACGCUGAGGCACGAAAGCGUGGGGAUCAAA